rnacentral:rRNA from 1 species
AUUGAACGCUGGCGGCAUGCCUUACACAUGCAAGUCGAACGGCAGCACGGGUGCUUGCACCUGGUGGCGAGUGGCGAACGGGUGAGAAAUACAUCGGAACAUGUCCUGUUGUGGGGGAAAGCCCGGCGAAAGCCGGUUUAAUACCGCACACGAUCCACGGAUGAAAGCGGGGGACUUUCGGGCCUCGCGCUAUGGGGUUGGCCGAUGGCUGAUUAGCUAGUUGGUGGGGUAAAGGCCUACCAAGGCGACGAUCAGUAGCUGGUCUGAGAGGACGACCAGCCACACUGGGACUGAGACACGGCCCAGACUCCUACGGGAGGCAGCAGUGGGGAAUUUUGGACAAUGGGCGAAAGCCUGAUCCAGCAAUGCCGCGUGUGUGAAGAAGGCCUUCGGGUUGUAAAGCACUUUUGUCCGGAAAGAAGUCCUUUGAGCUAAUACAGUCGGGGGAUGACGGUACCGGAAGAAUAAGCACCGGCUAACUACGUG